rnacentral:rRNA from 1 species
GACGAACGCUGGCGGCGUGCCUAAUACAUGCAAGUAGAACGCACAGUUUAUACCGUAGCUUGCUACACCAUAAACUGUGAGUUGCGAACGGGUGAGUAACGCGUAGGUAACCUGCCUGGUAGCGGGGGAUAACUAUUGGAAACGAUAGCUAAUACCGCAUAAUAUUGAUUAUUGCAUGAUAAUUGAUUGAAAGAUGCUAUUGCAUCACUACCAGAUGGACCUGCGUUGUAUUAGCUAGUAGGUGAGGUAACGGCUCACCUAGGCGACGAUACAUAGCCGACCUGGGAGGGUGAUCGGCCACACUGGGACUGAGACACGGCCCAGACUCCUACGGGAAGCAGCAGUAGGGAAACUUCGGCAAUGGACGAAAGUCUGACCGAGCAACGCCGCGUGAGUGAAGAAAGUUUUCGGAUCGUAAAGCUCUGUUGUAAGGGAAGAACGGGUGUGAGAGUGGAAAGUUCACACUGUGACGGUACCUUACCAGAAAGGGACGGCUAACUACGUG